rnacentral:rRNA from 1 species
GGGGACCCGCACAAGCGGUGGAUGAUGUGGUUUAAUUCGAUGCAACGCGAAAAACCUUACCUACCCUUGACAUGUCAGGAAUCCCGUAGAGAUAUGGGAGUGCUCGAAAGAGAAUCUGAACACAGGUGCUGCAUGGCCGUCGUCAGCUCGUGUCGUGAGAUGUUGGGUUAAGUCCCGCAACGAGCGCAACCCUUAUCAUUAGUUGCUACGCAAGGGCACUCUAAUGAGACUGCCGGUGACAAACCGGAGGAAGGUGGGGAUGACGUCAGGUCAUCAUGGCCCUUAUGGGUAGGGCUACACACGUCAUACAAUGGCCGGUACAGAGGGCGGCCAACUCGCGAGAGGGAGCUAAUCUCAGAAAACCGGUCGUAGUCCGGAUCGCAGUCUGCAACUCGACUGCGCGAAGUCGGAAUCGCUAGUAAUCGCGGAUCAGCUUGCCGCGGUGAAUACGUUCCCGGGUCUUGUACACACCGCCCGUCACACCAUGGGAGCGGGUUCUGCCAGAAGUAGUUAGCCUAACCGCAAGGAGGGCGAUUACCACGGCAGGGUUCGUGACUGGGGUGAAGUCGUAACAAGGUAGCCGUA